GUGGUUUAAUUCGAUGAUACGCGAGAACCUUACCUGGUCUUGACAUGCUGGGAACCUCUAAGAGAUUAGGGGGUGCCUGCUUGCAGGAGCCCAGACACAGGUGGUGCAUGGUUGUCGUCAGCUCGUGUCGUGAGAUGUUGGGUUAAGUCCCGCAACGAGCGCAACCCUUGUUGCUAGUUACCAGCACGUAAUGGUGGGAACUCUAGCGAGACUGCCGGUGACAAACCGGAGGAAGGUGGGGAUGACGUCAAAUCAUCACGCCCCUUAUGACCUGGGCUACACACGUGCUACAAUGGUCUGAACAGAGGGCUGCGAAACCGCGAGGUGAAGCUAAUCCCUUAAAACAGAUCUCAGUUCGGACUGCAGGCUGCAACUCGCCUGCAUGAAGUUGGAGUUGCUAGUAAUCGCAGAUCAGAAUGCUGCGGUGAAUGCGUUCCCGGGUCUU
rnacentral:rRNA from 1 species